AUUGAACGCUGGCGGUAUGCCUUACACAUGCAAGUCGAACGGUAGAGGGGCAACCCUUGAGAGUGGCGAACGGGUGAGUAAUACAUCGGAACGUGCCCAGUCGUGGGGGAUAACGUAGCGAAAGCUACGCUAAUACCGCAUACGACCUGAGGGUGAAAGCGGGGGAUCGCAAGACCUCGCGCGAUUGGAGCGGCCGAUGGCAGAUUAGGUAGUUGGUGGGGUAAAGGCCUACCAAGCCUGCGAUCUGUAGCUGGUCUGAGAGGACGACCAGCCACACUAGGACUGAGACACGGCCCAGACUCCUACGGGAGGCAGCAGUGGGGAAUUUUGGACAAUGGGCGAAAGCCUGAUCCAGCCAUACCGCGUGCGGGAAGAAGGCCUUCGGGUUGUAAACCGCUUUUGUCAGGGAAGAAAUCUUCUGGGUUAAUACCUCGGGAGGAUGACGGUACCUGAAGAAUAAGCACCGGCUAACUACGUGCCAGCCGCCGCGGUAACAC
rnacentral:rRNA from 1 species